GGAGAACCUAGACAACCUGGUUGGAGUCUAUGAACAACGAAAAAUGGCUGCCGAAGAGAAAUUGAAAAUCAAAAAACAUAACCUGAUGGAAAAGGAGAGUGAGCUGUCAGCUAUGAAGGAAAAUCUGAAAUUAGUUUCAGAAGAAACACUCAAGUACAAGCAACAAAAGGACCAAAUACAAGAACAGCUGCAGCAGGCGGAG